rnacentral:rRNA from 1 species
AUUGGACGCUGGCGGCAUGCCUUACACAUGCAAGUCGAACGGACUCAAGAGGCUUGCUUCUUGAGUUAGUGGCGAACGGGUGAGUAAAGCAUCGGAACGUACCCAGUUGUGGGGGAUGACGUAGCGAAAGUUACGCUAAUACCGCAUACGCACUGAGGUGGAAAGCGGGGGACCGAAAGGCCUCGCGCAAUUGGAGCGUCGGAUGUCGGAUUAGCUAGUUGGUGAGGUAAAGGCUCACCAAGGCGACGAUCCGUAGCUGGUCUGAGAGGACGACCAGCCACACUGGAACUGAGACACGGUCCAGACUCCUACGGGAGGCAGCAGUGGGGAAUUUUGGACAAUGGGCGAAAGCCUGAUCCAGCCAUGCCGCGUGAGUGAAGAAGGCCUUCGGGUUGUAAAGCUCUUUCAGACGGAAAGAAAUCUUUCGGGUGAAUAUCCCGGAAGGAUGACGGUACCGUAAGAAGAAGCACCGGCUAACUACGUGCCAGCCGCCGCCGUAA